ensembl:lncRNA
UUUUCUUUUUCCUCCCUGAAGCCCAGUAUAUAGCUGUAUAGUCUAGUUGUAAGUCCUUCUGCUUCUAUGUGGGCCGCCACCACAGCAUGGCUACUGACAGACGAGUGACAUGGUUCCACGCUUGGGAACUGAACUCAGGCUGCUGAAGCAGACAGAGUGUGCUGAGCUUUAACCACUUGGCCAUCAGACCAUUCCCGUGUGUGCGAAGGCUCUGUAGAGUCACUCGGGCUGUGGCUUUCAGGCUGCAAACUGUCUCUAAGACGAGGAGACAGCCGUUGUUCUUGGAUGACCUUCUCAGGGGAGGAAGAGGAGCAUCCUCGAGGAGAGUUCUCAGGGUUUGCUAACAUCAGGACUGAAGGAGAAGGAAGUUUUGUCGAGCUUCAUCUUUGAGAAGAAAGCUAGAAGACAGAGGUCCCAGGGUGUUUUGGUUACUCUGGAGUGAAACAUGGAGGAGAGAACCAUAAAAUAUUUCCAGAGCUCUGUGACUAGUACCAUUGAGUCUCUGUUUUUGUUUCCUGGAGGUAAUUAGCAUUCAAACAACUUGUGUGCUCUGGGUUGCCCAAUAGGCCCCUGGGCAGGGAGAGCGCCAGCCUUGGAGCAAGAUGGUUGAGUGAGUGGUGGCACUUAUCACAGGAGAGAAGAGCGAGCUGGGCCUUGGACGACUCCUGCAGAGAGAAAAAGAGAGCGUGGGCAGCGGGCCGAGAGCGGUUGAGCGAGCGCUGGGCCGAGCAGGAGAAAGGCCCCCGUGAGGUUUCCAGAUGCAGGGCCAUACACUCUCCGAAGCACUUCUUCACUCUUGUAAUUCUCUCCCCACCCUUUGGUUGAGGAACAGGUGAUAUUUUUAGCUCUGUUUUCCUAGUAAGUAAGUUAAUUUUCAGAGAAGAUAAAGUAACCCCAAAGACACAGCUGGAUAGAAGUUGAUCUAGGGCUAGAAGCCAGCUCUCCCAACCUAUGGAUCAGGGUUCCUCACUGUCCCCCAAUGCCACUGGAACCUGAAAUGGCACAGCCUGGUCUGGAGGACAUUGAGGAGCAUAAAUUAGGCAGAGGAAGGAGUGUGGGUAUGGGGAGUGUUCCAGGCGGAAGGAACAGCACUUCAAGGCCUUGAGGAAGGAGCGAGAGUGGUGCUUCCUGAGAACCAAAACAGGCCAGGAAGGCUGGGCCACGGAAAGCAACGUGGGGGCUGGUGUGAGGUGGGACUGGAUUAUGAAGAGCUCUGAGAGCUCACUUGCCACUUCUUCAGCGGGACCUGCCUACCUCCAGCAGCAGAUUCCUUCCUAAAGAGCGUCAGCACACUCUCUCCCGUGGACUUCCGCUGUACCCAAUGGCACUGACCUUUGAGCCACUGGUGGCAGUGUGGGGGGAGGCACGGGAUUAACGUAAGUACAUAAAUCCAUUUGCACACCAAUCUUAGUCUGAAAAAUAAUAUGUUCUGCACUUUUAUUGCUACUAUUUUCCAAAUGAAUAUAGAUGUCAUUGUGAUGAAUAAAACUCAAGUUCAUUUCACAGUACUCCUAAAUUCCUAGGAGCUUCUGGCUAUCGUGUGUAACCCCUGUGUCUCUGGCCUCAUCAGCCUGCGACAACAAAUACAGCUGCAAUUCCUUUUGCUCUACAAAUGCUUGAAAGCUGCCCCGUCAGUGCGGCUUCCUCCUGCCUGGCCUCUCAUCUUAUCUCCACACUGUUGUCCCUGCUCUGCCUCCCUCACGGUUCACUGCUCUUCUGAGCCCAUCUUUGUUCAUUCCCACCUUCCAUGACCCUCCCACUACCUUGGUGCAUUCCCACUGCUCAUGUCUCCCCUGUUAUCGUUGUUCCUUCCCACUGGUCAUGCCGACACUGCUACUGCUGGACGCAGAGAUUCAGAGGUUUGCUUUCUACUUCUGUUGGAAGUCAGGCAUGACCUCCUGGGAUUGGAGGGUGCCCUGUCACUUCCCUGAGUCUGACCUCCCCUCCAGCCAUCACCUCCUGCACUUCUGCAUCCACAGCUGCAGCUGACAGAAUUAGUGCCAGCACAGAUGCUUGUGGAAAGCAAGGGCUUGCUCUUACUACCUCUUCC